GGGACUUGAAAUGUCGCGUGGAUGAGUGAGGGAGUUUGUCUUCCAGAGACAAAGCAAAACGAAACGUCAAAGUUCUGUGCUGGUGAAACCAGAUUUGAAGAAUAUCAAAGGCGUCUUACCAAAGAGGAAAAAAAAUGCAUCUUGCCAAGACUUGAAGAAAGGGAUUAGAGAAACCAGAGGCCUUGAAUACUCAGAAAAUGGGAGAUUGUGAAUGGGUGUAGAGGAUAUCUAUGAACCUUGACAUUUCUUUUCACGCCAAGUCCAUUCCCCUGUUAACAGUUGCUUCCCAGUUUCCUGCACAGCUGCAUGGUCUGGGACACUUAAAGAAAAAAAUCACAGGAAAUCAGUGUUCUUGGUAUAUUAUAUAAAGUUAUGAUUCUAUCAACAUUUGUAAUUCAUUUAAUAUUCAGGUGACAGCCCGAAAAUUUACACUAAACAAUACCAUUCCUGUUAAGUUUUACUACAUAUUGAGAGGACUUCUUGUUACCUCCCUAUUACAUACUCCCAAACGCUUUGCACAUGGAAUCCCUCACCUUCCACCUAGUUUUCCCCCCUACUAUUGAUAUUCUUGACUAAAAGGUUGAGUAGUUUCGCCAUCAAUUAAAGUUAAAACCACUGCAGACAGGACAGGGAAGAAAAGCUACGAGGUUUGCUCUUCACAGAAUUAAUCUGUGAAAUAAUGGAUUGUAGUUACUGGAUUAAAAUGGCAGAAAACCUAGUCUUGGCCUCCUUAAGACCAUCAGACUCCCUGGAGGCUCUGAGUUGGCUUCUCUCUUUACACCUAGAUUGCAACAAGACCUAAGCACUUGGUUAAUAUUUACCCAGGAACUUAGAUUGCUUGUGUGUCUGGCAUCUAGCCAUCAUGGAUUCCAUUCCAAUAUAUUGGUUUUCCAGUCCCUCAAUAGCUGUUAUAUGCCUUCAUUGCAACAUAUGUGUGCCAUCCAGUUUAGUUUCGGAAAGAAAUAUUUUCUGUUAUACCAAAAUUGUAGGACUGAAUACUUGGAAGCUGCAGCCCUUUAAUUCACAAAACAAAAUUUGUGAGAGAAAACUUCUCCCAAGUAAGAUUACAUUUAGCAUCAUAUUUAAAUUGUUUCUAUCUGAACUUUUUAUUCUUGGUCUCCUACAGCUUGAAUGACGUUUCUAACUUUAACAGCUCUUUCUACUAUAUAAAACAUUUAUACAGGAUUUGCUGUUUGUGAUCUUACACUUUGUAGCAGCUAUGUACUUAGAUAGAUACAUAAUAGUACUCUCCUUGUGAUGAAUGUUUAUGUGUUUUUUUUAACUUCAAAAUGAUUUAUACUGGGAGUUAAAAUGUUGCGUCUUUCUUUUAAUAU
rnacentral:lncRNA from 1 species